UACGUAGGGGGCUAGCGUUGUCCGGAAUCAUUGGGCGUAAAGCGCGUGUAGGCGGUCCGGUAAGUCCGCUGUGAAAGCCGGGGGCUCAACCCUCGGAUGCCGGUGGAUACUGUCGGGCUUGAGUACGGAAGAGGCGAGUGGAAUUCCUGGUGUAGCGGUGAAAUGCGCAGAUAUCAGGAGGGACACCAAUUGCGAAGGCAGCUCGCUGGGACGUUACUGACGCUGAGACGCGAAAGCGUGGGGAGCAAACAGG
rnacentral:rRNA from 1 species